rnacentral:lncRNA from 1 species
CCCACCUCAGAGGAGGCUGCCAGACUCCCAAAUGACGCCGGCCUCUUUUUCUAAGUAACGCUCUUGAGAAGCCCAUGAAACCAAAAGUGCUGUGAGUCCAAAAGACCAUAUUUUCAGAACCAAAUAUUAGAACCUGAGGUCCAUCAAAGAUCUGCACAUGAAAAACGAGUUCCACUGGCAGACAACACAGUCAAGCCGUCCGGGCUGGGCGCACACGUUCGCCCUGUCGCUUGCUGGAGUGGGGCCACCACCGCAGGCCGCGGCCUUCCUCUUGAUUUCUUUGUCCUGCCGUCUCAGGGCAGGUCACCCAGGGGAGGAAGCUGCACCCUAGUCAGCCGCAGCAGCUGGCCCCAGCGCCCC